GUAGUCAUAUGCUUGUCUCAAAGAUUAAGCCAUGCAUGUCUAAGUAUAAGCAACUAUACGGUGAAACUGCGAAUGGCUCAUUAAAUCAGUUAUCGUUUAUUUGAUAGCACCUUACUACAUGGAUAACCGUGGUAAUUCUAGAGCUAAUACAUGCUAAAAACCCCGACUUCGGAAGGGGUGUAUUUAUUAGACAAAAAACCAAUGCCCUUCGGGGCUCCUUGGUGAAUCAUAAUAACUUAACGAAUCGCUUGGCCUUGCGCCGGCGUUGGUUCAUUCAAAUUUCUGCCCUAUCAACUUUCGAUGGUAGGAUAGUGGCCUACCAUGGUAUCAACGGGUAACGGGGAAU
rnacentral:rRNA from 1 species